AAAACAUUCGGACCGUCGGUCUACCGAGCAAUAUCACCCGCUCGGUGGAAGAUCUUCUCUUUGUCGU
rnacentral:pre_miRNA from 1 species